rnacentral:rRNA from 1 species
UACGUAGGGUGCGAGCGUUGUCCGGAAUUAUUGGGCGUAAAGGGCUCGUAGGCGGUUUGUCACGUCGGGAGUGAAAACUCAGGGCUCAACCCUGAGCCUGCUUCCGAUACGGGCAGACUAGAGGUAUGCAGGGGAGAACGGAAUUCCCGGUGUAGCGGUGAAAUGCGCAGAUAUCGGGAGGAACACCGGUGGCGAAGGCGGUUCUCUGGGCCUGUACUGACGCUGAGGAGCGAAAGGCGUGGGGGAGCGAACAGG